rnacentral:rRNA from 1 species
UACGAAGGGGGCUAGCGUUGUUCGGAAUCACUGGGCGUAAAGCGCAUGCAGGCGGAUCGUUAAGUCGGGGGUGAAAGCCCGAGGCUCAACCUCGGAACUGCCUUCGAUACUGGCGAUCUUGAGUCCGGGAGAGGUGAGUGGAACUGCGAGUGUAGAGGUGAAAUUCGUAGAUAUUCGCAAGAACACCAGUGGCGAAGGCGGCUCACUGGCCCGGUACUGACGCUGAGGUGCGAAAGCGUGGGGAGCAAACAGG